AUUGAACGCUGGCGGCAGGCCUAACACAUGCAAGUCGAACGGUAACAGGAAGCAGCUUGCUGCUUUGCUGACGAGUGGCGGACGGGUGAGUAAUGUCUGGGAAACUGCCUGAUGGAGGGGGAUAACUACUGGAAACGGUAGCUAAUACCGCAUAACGUCGCAAGACCAAAGAGGGGGACCUUAGGGCCUCUUGCCAUCGGAUGUGCCCAGAUGGGAUUAGCUAGUAGGUGGGGUAACGGCUCACCUAGGCGACGAUCCCUAGCUGGUCUGAGAGGAUGACCAGCCACACUGGAACUGAGACACGGUCCAGACUCCUACGGGAGGCAGCAGUGGGGAAUAUUGCACAAUGGGCGCAAGCCUGAUGCAGCCAUGCCGCGUGUAUGAAGAAGGCCUUCGGGUUGUAAAGUACUUUCAGCGGGGAGGAAGGGGGUAAAGUUAAUACCUUGGCUCAUUGACGUUACCCGCAGAAGAAGCACCGGCUAACUCCGUG
rnacentral:rRNA from 1 species